rnacentral:rRNA from 1 species
UGGGGAAUAUUGCACAAUGGGCGAAAGCCUGAUGCAGCAACGCCGCGUGAGGGAUGACGGCCUUCGGGUUGUAAACCUCUUUUAGUAGGGAAGAAGCGAAAGUGACGGUACCUGCAGAAAAAGCACCGGCUAACUACGUGCCAGCAGCCGCGGAAAUACGUAGGGUGCAAGCGUUGUCCGGAAUUAUUGGGCGUAAAGAGCUCGUAGGCGGUUUGUCGCGUCUGCUGUGAAAUCCCGAGGCUCAACCUCGGGUCUGCAGUGGGUACGGGCAGACUAGAGUGUGGUAGGGGAGAUUGGAAUUCCUGGUGUAGCGGUGGAAUGCGCAGAUAUCAGGAGGAACACCGAUGGCGAAGGCAGAUCUCUGGGCCAUUACUGACGCUGAGGAGCGAAAGCAUGGGGAGCGAACA